rnacentral:misc_RNA from 1 species
CAUAGUGGUAGCGGCAGCGGUAGCAGCAGCGUUGUUAUUAUAAACACGUAUUAAUACAGUGAACAUAUAGGGCGUGAAGCAGUUUUACACGGAAAACGAUUAAGACGGCCGGAAAGUUUCAUGAACAAAUACAGAGUAAUGUCAUCUGUAAUCGAGCCAUAGCAUGAAAGGCUUCACAGCAACAAAAGACAAAGGACGUUUUACACCGGGGAUGAACAUUAUGCUCCGUAUAGCCUGAAACCCACGACUCACUAGUAUAUAGACUAUAUAUAUAUAAAUAUAGUUGUGCUGCAACUGUACAUGAAAAUACGACUUUUGGUCUGAUAUCAAAGAAGGACUAUCAUUAACCCAUGAGCACGGGCAAUGGCGAUGCUGUGGCGACGGCAGCAGCACCCGCAGCCUCAUCGUCGUCGUCAUGGGGACAACACGGCGGGGAGAGUGCGGCGAAAUCACAGGAUACGCAACCGGCACCACCUUCCCAGACUCAAACGACACCCGCAACAGCACCGAAUACUAAAGCACAAGCACCGAAAAGACCUCCCCGACGUAGCGGAAAACCACUAGCGGACAGACCGAUUCGCGCCCUCUACUGCCUACCGCUGAAAAAUCCUGUGCGGAAGAUGUGCAUCGACGUCGUCGAAUGGAAACCCUUCGAAUGGUUGAUCUUGCUGACGAUAUUCGCAAACUGCGUGGCCCUCGCCGUUUAUACGCCGUACCCGAACAGCGAUUCAAAUUCAACGAAUACCUAUUUGGAAAAAAUCGAGUACGUCUUUUUGGUAAUAUUUACGGUCGAAUGCGUUAUGAAAAUCAUUGCCUACGGAUUUGUGGCACAUCCCGGUGCCUACCUAAGAAACGGGUGGAACUUGCUUGAUUUUACGAUCGUAGUGAUUGGAAUGAUCAGCACGGCAAUGGUAUGGUUCAUGAAGGAAGGUUUCGAUGUUAAGGCUCUACGAGCCUUUCGUGUAUUACGACCGUUGCGUCUAGUUUCCGGUGUGCCAAGUUUACAGGUGGUUCUGAACUCAAUCUUACGAGCGAUGGUUCCAUUACUACACAUCGCUUUGCUUGUACUAUUUGUCAUAAUUAUCUAUGCAAUCAUUGGUUUGGAACUAUUCUCCGGGAAAAUGCACAAAACUUGCUGGAACAACAGGACGGGAGAAAUGAUGGAUGAGCCACAUCCGUGCAGCUUGGAGGAGGCUGGAUUCAAAUGCGAGGAUCGUUUUGGGGCAGAUUAUAUUUGCAGCAAACAAUUUUGGGAAGGACCAAAUCUCGGUAUCACAAACUUCGAUAAUUUUGGCUUAGCGAUGUUGACUGUUUUUCAAUGUGUCACUCUCGAAGGAUGGACAAACGUUCUGUACGAUAUCGAAGACGCUAUGGGAAACAGCUGGCAAUGGAUUUACUUCAUCUCCAUGGUUAUACUUGGUGCCUUUUUCGUGAUGAAUUUGAUUCUCGGUGUGUUAUCCGGUGAAUUCUCAAAGGAGAGAGAGAAGGCGAAGGCUCGGGGAGAUUUCCACAAACUUCGAGAGAAGCAGCAAAUCGAAGAUGAUCUCAGGGGGUAUCUCGAUUGGAUAACGCAGGCGGAGGACAUUGAACCAGAAGCCGAGGAGCCUCAGCUGAUGCAGGACGGCAAGCCGAAACAACAAAACGAGAUGGAAAGUAUUGAUCAGUUGGAGGGUGACGAAGACGUCCAGCAAGAAUCGUUCUGGACCAAAAAGAAGCGCGAUUUGGAAAGGGUAAAUCGACGCAUGAGACGAGCCUGCAGAAAGGCGGUCAAAUCCCAAGUCUUCUAUUGGCUGAUUAUUGUCCUCGUUUUCCUGAACACUGUCGUACUAGCUACUGAACACUACCGGCAACCCCAGUGGCUUGACAAUUUCCAAGAAGUAACAAACAUGUUCUUUAUCGGACUAUUCACCAUGGAAAUGAUGUUGAAGAUGUACAGUCUUGGUUUUCAAGGUUACUUUGUUUCGCUGUUCAAUCGGUUUGAUUGUUUCGUCGUGAUUGGCUCCAUCGGCGAGAUGAUACUAACGAACACGGAAGUAAUGCAGCCCCUCGGAGUAUCGGUCCUUCGCUGCGUUCGACUACUCAGAGUAUUCAAAGUAACCAAGUACUGGCGUUCAUUGUCAAACUUGGUUGCUUCGCUGCUGAACUCGAUCCAGUCCAUCGCCUCUUUAUUGCUCCUUCUUUUUCUAUUCAUCGUGAUCUUCGCUUUGCUAGGAAUGCAGGUAUUUGGUGGCAAAUUCAACUCACCCGGCUCUCAAGAGAAGCCAAGAAGCAACUUUGAUAGUUUUUGGCAGAGUCUGCUCACUGUCUUCCAGAUAUUGACCGGGGAAGACUGGAACCAAGUGAUGUACGAAGGUAUCAAGGCGUAUGGUGGGGUAUCUGGAUUCGGUGCGCUGGCAUGUGUAUACUUCAUCAUCCUCUUCAUCUGUGGAAACUAUAUCUUACUGAAUGUUUUCUUGGCUAUAGCCGUCGACAAUUUGGCCGAUGCUGAGUCAUUGACCGCAAUCGAGAAAGAACAGGAAGAAGAGGCUGAGAAAAAUAAAUCUCGUAGCGGCUCACUGAUACGAGAUCACGGUAGCGAAGAUGAAGCUGAAGAUGGGGAGAAUGGCAGCGGUAUCGAGGAUGAAGAUGAUGAAGAGAUGGAGGAGGAGCAGGAGGAAGAAGAGGAAGAAGACGAGGACGAAGAAGCUGAACAAGAUCCGAAUGAGACGAUUGAAGACUACGAAGUCGCAUUGGAUACAGAAACUUCAGAGAAGGGAGAAGAUUCCAACAGCCGUACUAAUAUGCGAUUACAAAUGGAGUCCGAAGACGAAGAUAUAGGAGUGCGUUUACGUGUGUUUCAAGAAGGUGGCGCAGGAGAGGGUGUUACAGCACGACCUCGUCGAAUGUCCGAGUUCAACAUGGCGACUAAAAAACAGCCGAUUCCAGCUGGCUCUGCCUUCUUUAUAUUCUCACAAACAAACAGAUUCCGGGUGUUUUGCCACUGGCUGUGCAACCACACUUAUUUCGGGAAUAUAAUACUGGCCUGCAUUUUGAUAUCAUCAGCAAUGCUCGCCGCUGAGGAUCCGCUGUCUGCAGAAUCGGACCGCAAUAACGUCCUGAAGAGUUUCGAUAAUUUCUUCACAACUGUGUUUGCGGUUGAAAUCUGCCUAAAAAUGAUUUCUUACGGAUUCGUGAUUCACGAGGGAGCAUUCUGUCGAUCUGCGUUCAAUCUCCUGGACCUGCUUGUCGUCUGCGUCUCCAUUUCGUCUAUAUACCUGCCCUCCGCUAUGGCGGUGUUGAAAAUAUUUCGGGUACUCCGAGUACUGAGGCCUCUACGUGCCAUCAAUCGUGCCAAAGGAUUAAAGCACGUAGUUCAAUGCGUCAUCGUAGCUGUUAAGACUAUCGGAAACAUAGUCCUCGUCACCAGCCUACUGCAGUUCGUGUUCGCUGUCAUUGGUGUUCAACUAUUCAAGUACGUAGUGAAAUGCGUAAUUGUUGCCAUUAAAACUAUUGGCAACAUUAUGUUGGUCACCUAUCUCCUACAGUUCAUGUUUGCUGUUAUCGGGGUGCAACUUUUUAAGGGUAAAUUUUUCCGCUGCAACGACCGCUCGAAAAUGACGGAACUGGAUUGCCAAGGCACGUAUCUCGCGUUCGACGACGGUGAUAUCAAUAAGCCAUCGGUUGAGAAUCGAAAAUGGGACCAGAAUACAUUUCACUUUGAUAACGUUGCUAAAGCUAUGCUGACCUUGUUCACGGUGUCAACGUUCGAGGGCUGGCCCGCAUUACUGCAGGUAUCCAUUGAUUCGAAUAAAGAAGACAACGGACCCAUCCACAACUUUCGACCAAUAGUUGCCGUUUACUACAUCGUAUAUAUCAUUAUCAUUGCAUUUUUUAUGGUCAACAUAUUCGUAGGCUUUGUUAUAGUGACAUUCCAAAACGAGGGUGAGCAAGAAUACAAGAAUUGCGAAUUGGAUAAGAAUCAGCGCAACUGCAUAGAGUUUGCACUAAAAGCGAAACCGGUACGGCGUUACAUUCCCAAACAUCGUAUACAAUACAAAGUUUGGUGGUUCGUCACAUCACAACCGUUCGAAUACACCAUAUUCACCCUCAUUAUGAUAAAUACGGUCACUCUGGCGAUGAAAUUCUACGAGCAGCCACAGUUUUACACGGACGCCUUGGACAUACUGAACAUGAUUUUCACAGCAGUCUUUGCUCUUGAGUUCGUGUUCAAGCUAGCCGCAUUCAAAUUCAAGAAUUACUUCGGAGAUGCCUGGAAUGUCUUUGACUUCAUCAUUGUACUAGGAAGCUUCAUAGAUAUCGUGUACUCCGAGGUCAGAGGGGGCGGAUCCAGUAUCAUCUCCAUAAAUUUUUUUCGCUUAUUCCGCGUGAUGCGCUUGGUGAAACUCUUAAGCAGAGGGGAAGGUAUCCGAACUUUGUUAUGGACAUUCAUCAAGUCUUUCCAAGCUCUACCAUAUGUCGCUCUUCUGAUCGUAAUGCUGUUCUUCAUAUAUGCUGUUAUCGGGAUGCAGGUAUUCGGUAAAAUUGCCCUUGACGACGAUACAGAGAUACAUCGCAACAACAACUUCCAAACGUUUCCGCAAUCUGUUCUGGUCCUAUUCAGAUCGGCUACAGGUGAGUCUUGGCAGGAUAUCAUGAUGGAUUGUGCGGCACGAGGGAACGAAGUAAAGUGUGACAAUAGAAGUGACGAAAGAAAUUCGACUGGAUGCGGGUCAAACAUUGCGUUCCCGUACUUUAUUUCUUUUUACGUACUCUGUUCCUUUCUUAUUAUCAACCUGUUCGUAGCAGUUAUAAUGGAUAAUUUCGAUUACUUGACCAGAGACUGGUCUAUACUUGGUCCGCAUCAUCUCGACGAGUUUAUUAGACUGUGGUCCGAAUACGAUCCCGACGCCAAGGGCCGUAUCAAGCAUCUUGACGUUGUUACUUUGUUACGUAAAAUAUCACCGCCAUUGGGAUUUGGUAAACUUUGUCCCCAUAGAGUUGCUUGCAAGCGAUUAGUGUCGAUGAACAUGCCCCUUAACAGCGACGGUACUGUAUUAUUCAACGCAACCUUAUUCGCAGUUGUGCGAACCUCACUCAGAAUAAAAACUGAAGGUAAUAUCGAUGAUGCAAACGCGGAGCUGAGGGCUGUAAUAAAGAAGAUAUGGAAGCGAACCAGUCCGAAACUAUUGGACCAAGUCGUACCACCUCCCGGAGUGGACGACGAAGUUACAGUUGGUAAGUUCUACGCCACGUUUCUUAUUCAAGACUACUUCCGACGCUUCAAAAAACGAAAGGAACAGGAAAUGAAAGAAGGUGACAAAGACUGUCACAACACGGUAACCUUGCAGGCUGGUUUGCGAACGCUUCACGAAGCUGGACCAGAACUAAAGCGAGCAAUUUCUGGCAACUUGGAAGAGCUGCUGGACGAUAAUCCUGAACCAACGCACAGGAGAAAUCACUCAUUGUUUGGUAGCGUCUGGUCCAGUAUGCGAAAAGGGCACCACAAUUUUCACCGAGCCAAAUCGUUGAAAGUUGAUUCGACCGUUUCAAAGGUUUCACCGACCAAUUCGAUUGACUUUUUACCCUACGUAUCGACGAAAAGAGCCAUCAACGAUACCCAAAAUCAAGUAACUGCCAGGUCACAUCAGGUUGUGCCAAACGUUGUCGGUAGGAGCUUCGGUGACAACGCCAUGAACCAGAUGGCCGCAGACCCGAGGCAAAUACAUGCCGAAGAAAAUAUUCCUCUGCGACCACUGACGGUAUUCGGAAAUUCUUCGGAUAUACACCAGAUGAACUACCAGAACUCUUACAAAUUAAUUGAUUACCUGGUCUGGCGAGAGUAAUGGAAAUGCCGGACCGGAUCGUCUGUCGCACAGUCUACCGGGGAGUCCAGCGGAUCGAAAACCAAACUUUGACGUCAUCGGCAGCGCGGAAAGUCUCGUCGGGCGGGUACUCGUUGAGCAAGGCCUCGGUAAAUAUUGCGACUCUGACUUCGUGAAGUAUACAUCUAGGGAAAUGCAAGAGGCGUUGGAUAUGACCAAGGAAGAGAUGGAUCACGCGGCUCACCUCCUAUUACUCAAUGAACAAAG